rnacentral:rRNA from 1 species
GAUUAUGCUCAGGAUGAACGCUAGCUACAGGCUUAACACAUGCAAGUCGAGGGCAGCAUGGGAUUAGCUUGCUAAUCUUGAUGGCGACCGGCGCACGGGUGAGUAACGCGUAUCCAACCUUCCCCCUACUCAGGCAUAGCCCGGUGAAAACCGGAUUAACUCCUGAUAGUUUCACUAGAUGGCAUCUGACGGUGAAUAAAGCUCAGCGGUAAGGGAUGGGGAUGCGUCUGAUUAGCUUGUUGGCGGGGUAACGGCCCACCAAGGCAACGAUCAGUAGGGGUUCUGAGAGGAAGGUCCCCCGCAUUGGAACUGAGACACGGUCCAAACUCCUACGGGAGGCAGCAGUGAGGAAUAUUGGUCAAUGGGCGCGAGCCUGAACCAGCCAAGUAGCGUGCAGGAAGACGGCCCUAUGGGUUGUAAACUGCUUUUGUGCGGGAAUAAAGUCAGGGACGUGUCCCUGUUUGCAUGUACCGCAAGAAUAAGGACCGGCUAAUUCCGUGCCAGCCGCUGC